UACAGAGGUCUCAAGCGUUGUUCGGAUUCAUUGGGCGUAAAGGGUGCGUAGGCGGUCUGUCGCGUCUGCUGUGAAAACUCGGGGCUUAACCCCGGGCCUGCAGUGGGUACGGGCAGACUAGAGUGCGGUAGGGGAGACUGGAAUUCCUGGUGUAGCGGUGAAAUGCGCAGAUAUCAGGAGGAACACCGGUGGCGAAGGCGGGUCUCUGGGCCGUAACUGACGCUGAGGAGCGAAAGCGUGGGGAGCGAACAGG
rnacentral:rRNA from 1 species